ACUCUCUUCUGCUUUGCAGUGGUAAGACAUGCCUGCUUCCCCUUCGCCUUUUGCCAUGAUUGUAAGUUUCCUGAGGCCUCCUAGUCAUGCUUCCUGUUAAGCCUGCAGAACUGGAGCAAAGUUUGUCAUCUUGAUACAAUAGAUCUUUGAUGAUAUCGAUAAGGAAACAUCCACACCCUUUGGUUAAAAGACUCUGAGACUUCAAGGACUGCUGGCUGUCCAGAAGAGGCUGUGGUGGUUCAAAAUCAAGACCUUGUUCCUCAUAUCCAGAACCACCAGCUGGGGUCCCGCUUCCAUCAGAUUGAACCACACAGGAUCACAGUGGAGUCUCCUUCCUGAGUCUUCCCAGCCUGGAAACUCCUACUGCUGUCAAACCCCCUGACAGGAGCCUCAACUCUCUGAAUCGCCUCUUCUCUAGGGACCUGAGUGGAUUGACAUCCCUGACCCUUUGAAAUUCAAGUGUAAACCUCAUGUUGAGAUGGUGGCAUCAAAAGAGGGCAGAACCUUGGGUCCCUGAGUGACUAAAGUGAGCACAGACAAAGGAGAAUGAAAGCUGUCUGUUGUAGAUAGGAUAUUUUCAGCCGUCAUCACCAUGGACUCUUUGAAAUGUACUACUUUAGAAAAGCCACAGUGACUCCCUCUGGGCCUCACCCACCUGAGAUGACAUCAGGAUGCAAAUCCAGGACUUACUCUCUUCAUACAGAUGGAAUGGUUCACUUGGCUUUUAGAGUGCAGACAAGCCAUUCAGUGGAGGCCGUGCCUCAGCCUGCACUCUUCUGACUCAUGACAUGACUUCUCCAUGGAGAGCCAGGAUUUUUCUCAAGUGUAACAAUAUUAAUUAUCAAGUCACUUUAAAACA
rnacentral:lncRNA from 1 species